GGUUCUUACUUCUAUUCCCUUCUUUAAUUUCUCAUUUCCAGCAUUUCAAUACUUGAAAUUCUUGAAAUUUUAUUCUUACUCCACCUUUUUUCUAAUUUCUUCUUUUUCAAAAACCAGACUUUUCCCAAAUUCUAUGAAUAUUUGAGGGAAAAAAAGAUUUUUUUUCCUAUCUUAAGAGCUACCUUGUUCUUUUUCCCUCUAUCAAAUUCUU
rnacentral:misc_RNA from 1 species